UACGUAGGGGGCUAGCGUUGUCCGGAAUCAUUGGGCGUAAAGCGCGUGUAGGCGGUUCGGUAAGUCCGCUGUGAAAGUCGGGGGCUCAACCCUCGAAUGCCGGUGGAUACUGUCGGACUAGAGUACGGAAGAGGCGAGUGGAAUUCCUGGUGUAGCGGUGAAAUGCGCAGAUAUCAGGAGGAACACCAAUUGCGAAGGCAGCUCGCUGGGACGUUACUGACACUGAGGAACGAAAGCCAGGGGAGCAAACGGG
rnacentral:rRNA from 1 species